rnacentral:rRNA from 1 species
AAACCGUUUAGGGGUAAACCUGAGAAACCCGAAAGGUCGAAGGGAGAAAUUCAUUCGCGUUUCGACGUCGGCGUCGGAGGGUCGUGUGACGGAAAGCGUUCGCGUUUUCCGCACCUUCCGUCCUUCGAACUGACGGCGAACGCGUGCACUUUUCUCCUGGUAGGACGUCGCGAUCCGUUGGGCGUCGGUCUAAGGCUCGCGGUGGAGCCCGUUCGUCAUCGUACGAACGGACCCGCGUGUCCCGGCCGACUCGCUCGACGGUAUACUGAAGGUUCGGGGCCGCUCUUGGAGCGUCCGACUCGCGGCAAGCGCGCCAGAUGCGUCGGUAACCGGACUUGGUGCCGAUUCCGACCCCUGGUGACUGUUGGCCGUGAAGUUCUCGGACAGACCUCGCGACCGAUCUGCGGCGCUAUAGCUUUGGGUACUUUCAGGA